rnacentral:rRNA from 1 species
GUGCCAGCCGCCGCGGUAAUACGGAGGGUGCAAGCGUUAAUCGGAAUUACUGGGCGUAAAGCGCGCGUAGGUGGUUCGAUAAGCGGGAUGUGAAAGCCCCGGGCUUAACCUGGGAACGGCAUUCCGAACUGUCGGGCUAGAGUAUGGUAGAGGGUAGUGGAAUUUCCUGUGUAGCGGUGAAAUGCGUAGAUAUAGGAAGGAACACCAGUGGCGAAGGCGGCUACCUGGACCAAUACUGACACUGAGGUGCGAAAGCGUGGGUAGCAAACAGGAUUAGAAACCCGUGUAGUUC